CCUACGGGAGGCAGCAGUGGGGAAUAUUGCACAAUGGGCGGAAGCCUGAUGCAGCAACGCCGCGUGCGGGAUGACGGCCUUCGGGUUGUAAACCGCUUUCGCCUGUGACGAAGCGUGAGUGACGGUAAUGGGUAAAGAAGCACCGGCUAACUACGUGCCAGCAGCCGCGGUGAUACGUAGGGUGCGAGCGUUGUCCGGAUUUAUUGGGCGUAAAGGGCUCGUAGGUGGUUGAUCGCGUCGGAAGUGUAAUCUUGGGGCUUAACCCUGAGCGUGCUUUCGAUACGGGUUGACUUGAGGAAGGUAGGGGAGAAUGGAAUUCCUGGUGGAGCGGUGGAAUGCGCAGAUAUCAGGAGGAACACCAGUGGCGAAGGCGGUUCUCUGGGCCUUUCCUGACGCUGAGGAGCGAAAGCGUGGGGAGCGAACAGGCUUAGAUACCCUGGUAGUCCACGCUGUAAACGGUGGGUACUAGGUGUGGGGUCCAUUCCACGGGUUCCGUGCCGUAGCUAACGCUUUAAGUACCCCGCCUGGGGAGUACGGCCGCAAGGCUAAAACUCAAAGGAAUUGACGG
rnacentral:rRNA from 1 species